rnacentral:tRNA from 1 species
GGCGGUAUAGCUCAAUUGGAUAGAGCUCCUCAUAGGGAGGAAGUAGCUGCUGUGAAAGAUGCGAAUGAGCAUGGAGUAGCUGUAUGUGAAAUGGUUGUCGGUUCGAGUCCGGCUACUGCCA